AUUGAACGCUGGCGGCAGGCUUAACACAUGCAAGUCGAGCGGGGUGAUGGUGCUUGCACUAUCACUUAGCGGCGGACGGGUGAGUAAUGCUUAGGAAUCUGCCUAUUAGUGGGGGACAACAUCUCGAAAGGGAUGCUAAUACCGCAUACGUCCUACGGGAGAAAGCAGGGGAUCACUUGUGACCUUGCGCUAAUAGAUGAGCCUAAGUCGGAUUAGCUAGUCGGUGGGGUAAAGGCCUACCAAGGCGACGAUCUGUAGCGGGUCUGAGAGGAUGAUCCGCCACACUGGGACUGAAACACGGCCCAGACUCCUACGGGAGGCAGCAGUGGGGAAUAUUGGACAAUGGGGGGAACCCUGGUCCAGCCAUGCCGCGUGUGUGAAGAAGGCCUUAUGGUUGUAAAGCACUUUAAGCGAGGAGGAGGCUCUUUUGGUUAAUACCCAAGAUGAGUGGACGUUACUCGCAGAAUAAGCACCGGCUAACUCUGUGCCAGCAGCCGCCGUAA
rnacentral:rRNA from 1 species